rnacentral:tRNA from 1 species
GUCCCAGUAGCUCAGUCGGAUCGAGCAACGAGCAAUAGCUUCUUUGAAACAACUGCGAGUUGCCCCGACGCAUCCAGCUUCCUUGAAUAGGCUCGCAGAGGAAGGGGCAUCGGCCCUAAGCCGUCGGUCGGGAGUUCGAAUCUCUCCUGGGACGCCA